UACGUAGGGGGCAAGCGUUGUCCGGAUUUAUUGGGCGUAAAGAGCUCGUAGGCGGUUCCGUAAGGCGUGAAGUCAAAUCUCUGGGCUCAACCCAGAAUCGCUUCCGAUACUGCGGUGACUGGAGUCCGGUAGGGGAGUGUGGAAUUCCUGGUGUAGCGGUGAAAUGCGCAGAUAUCAGGAGGAACACCAACAGCGAAGGCAGCACUCUGGGCCGGUACUGACGCUGAGGAGCGAAAGCAUGGGGAGCGAACAGG
rnacentral:rRNA from 1 species